CCCUUAGAUGUCCUGGGCCGCACGCGCGCUACACUGAUGCAUUCAACGAGUAUUUCCUUGGCCGAGAGGCCUGGGCAAUCUUUUAAACCUGCAUCGUGAUAGGGAUAGAUUAUUGCAAUUAUUAAUCUUGAACGAGGAAUUCCUAGUAAACGUAAAUCAUCAAUUUGCAUUGAUUACGUCCCUGCCCUUUGUACACACCGCCCGUCGCACCUACCGAUUGAAUGGUCCGGUGAAAUCUCGGGAUUGUGGCCAGUUCACUUUAUUGGGAGUUGGCUGCGAGAACUUGCUUAAACCUUAUCAUUUAGAGGAAGGUGAAGUCGUAACA
rnacentral:rRNA from 1 species